rnacentral:rRNA from 1 species
GACGAACGCUGGCGGCGUGCUUAACACAUGCAAGUCGAACGAUGAAGGAGAGCUUGCUCUCCGGAUUAGUGGCGAACGGGUGAGUAACACGUGACUAACCUGCCCCUUUCUCUGGGAUAACGCUCCGAAAGGAGUGCUAAUACCGGAUACGAACUCUGAACACAUGUUCGGAGUUGGAAAGUUUUUCGGAAAGGGAUGGAGUCGCGGCCUAUCAGCUUGUUGGUGAGGUAAUGGCUCACCAAGGCGACGACGGGUAGCCGGCCUGAGAGGGCGACCGGCCACACUGGGACUGAGACACGGCCCAGACUCCGACGGGAGGCAGCAGUGGGGAAUAUUGCACAAUGGGCGAAAGCCUGAUGCAGCGACGCCGCGUGAGGGAUGAAGGUCUUCGGAUUGUAAACCUCUUUCAGUAGGGACGAAGCGAAAGUGACGGUACCUAAAGAAGAAGCACCGGCUAACUACGUGCCAGCCGCCGCAGUAA